UUGGCGAGUUGGUCCAAGGCAUCUUGGGAGGAGCCGGAGAUGUUGUUGGAGGAGCAUUGGAUGUUUAAGUGCAGAUACUUCGUUUGUGAAUGACAAUGGAUAAAGAGAAUGCGAAUCUUCAAAAAGUCAUUCAAUAAAAUAUUAGUGAACAUCGAUUGCACCAUUUCUUCUAUAGUUCAAAUCACACGGCCGAGAUAUAAUUUGUAUACCAUUCAUUCUCAUUUGAGCCUUGAUUAGAUUAAGAUUGGAAAACACAUUAAAUCAAUAAAAAUCCAAAAAUAAA